rnacentral:lncRNA from 1 species
GGACAUAAAAUGGGCCGCAAGGCCAUGCGAGCAGGGGUUCACAUGGCCCGUGCGUGAGAGAGGGAGAAGUCGGACUCCGAGCAGGAGUCCUCCUCUCCUCCGACCGUCGGAGGAGACGGAAGGAGUCCUAAUCCUUCCACGAUUGAGCCGGGCUCCUCUAUUAAGAGAGCCCUCACCCCCAUCGAGCGCCACCGCUCCUCUUUCCUCCUCUUUUCUCCCUUCAAUGUCACAGCAUCCCGUCACUGUGCUCGCCGGAGAACGAGGCUGCCGGACGUUGCCGGUGUUGAGGUAAGUCCCUAGACUUCUUCUCCUUUCCUUCCUAUUCUUCCCAUAACUUGGAAUCGCAGCCGCCGGCUGUGUAAUCGGCCGGAAAUCGACCGAAAUAAGGAACCCAUGUUUCUGCCCCUGUUUGAUUUCCUCUUUUCUUUUUCUUCCGGCCGCCUCCGCCGCUGGUGUUCACCGAGACCUUUGCCCCCAUCAUCGAGUUGGCCCCUAGCAGAUGCCGGACCCCUAGCCACCGGCGAGUGGGCUGAAAUCCGAGGACAACCGAGCCCAAAACUUUCCUAUUCGGCCCUGUUUUGGGUUGGAUUCGGCCAGCCGGCCACCGCCGCCGGCUGCCUUCUGCUGCCCGCCGCCGCUGCCUCGCCGGACCACCAUGGCCAACCAUCAGUCCACCCUCUGCCUUCCCCUUGUUUACCAAGAAAGAAGAAACAAAGAAAAAGAAGAGAAGAAGAAU